AUGUAAAAUCAUACAACAUUAAUGAACUAUAUUCCAUUAGAACUCCAUAGUUAAGUGAACUUGGGAUAGAGUAGUACUAGUAUGGGUGAUCUCCUAGGAAGUCCAAGUGUUUUACAUU
rnacentral:rRNA from 1 species